rnacentral:rRNA from 1 species
AUUGAACGCUGGCGGCAUGGCUAACACAUGCAAGUCGAACGGCAGCACAGUGUGUAGCAAUACACAUGGGUGGCGAGUGGCGGACGGGUGAGUAAUGCGUAGGGAUCUGCCUCAAAGCGGGGGACAACCCGGGGAAACUCGGGCUAAUACCGCAUAAUACUCUGAGGAGGAAAGCUUGGGCAACCAGGCACUUUGAGAGGAACCUACGUCCGAUUAGCUAGUUGGUGGGGUAAUAGCUUACCAAGGCGAUGAUCGGUAGCUGGUCUGAGAGGAUGACCAGCCACACUGGGACUGAGACACGGCCCAGACUCCUACGGGAGGCAGCAGUGGGGAAUAUUGGACAAUGGGGGCAACCCUGAUCCAGCAAUGCCGCGUGUGUGAAGAAGGCCUUCGGGUUGUAAAGCACUUUAGGCGGGGAAGAAGGUAAUGAGUUGAAUAGACUUGUUGCUUGACGGUACCCGCAGAAUAAGCACCGGCUAACUCUGUGCCAGCAGCCGCGGUAAUAC